AAGAGAUAAGCAUGUAGGUUGUAGUGUUACUAGUUUGAAACUAGGAGGAGGGGGUUCAAGUCCCUCAUCUCUUG